rnacentral:rRNA from 3 species
CACGUAGGAGACUAGCGUUAUUCGGAUUUACUGGGCGUAAAGCGCGUGCAGGCGGUUCGGUUAGUUGGAUGUGAAAGCUCCUGGCUUAACUGGGAGAGGUCGUUCAAUACUGCCGGACUUGAGAGUGGUAGAGGGAGUUGGAAUUCCGGGUGUAGUGGUAAAAUGCGUAGAUAUCCGGAAGAACACCAGUGGCGAAAGCGGACUCCUGGACCAUUUCUGACGCUCAGACGCGAAAGCUAGGGGAGCGAACGGG